UAUACUCUUGAUUUCCUAUUGAUGAUUAGCAUAUCUCAAGUUCUUAAAUAAACUUAACUUAACCUAGCAUUAUACUAGACAGCUGCUAUACUCACUACUACAAAUUAUAACGUCAUGUGAGUGAGUUUACAGUCCAUAUACAAACCCAAAGAAAUAAAAUGAAUUACAUAACUAGACCCAUAUGGUAAUCUAACUAACAUACACAAAUCCAAAGACAUAAAUUAAGCUACACAGGCAGUUAUAAAUCCAAGCAAGCAUAAAUCAGGAAGUAGUGCUUCUUUUCCAUUUCAAUAAAGAGAAUUACAUCAAGCAGCUUUUAAGUGUGUACCUGAAAUGAAGAAAAGGGAAAAACCUAUGAGUAGGCAGCCAAAAGAACAAAAACAAUAGCAGCAACAAAUAACCCCAGAUUUAGUAAGGAGAUCAAUGAAUGGACUCCAAGUUAAUGGAACAGUAGAUUCAACAUUUUCAAAAGACCAUAGAGAUGCAAUUCGCACAACUAGUACCAAUUUCAAAUAACCAAAUAACUCGAACUACAACUAAACAUGAACCCACUAGUUAACCUUUAAGCCAUGAUAAGAAGAAGAAAUCGGAAUUGAGUUUUAGAUCAAAAUUUUUAAGUUUUGAGCUCCAAUCUGAAUUGAGUUAGUAACAGCCUUUUGGUUUUUUCUUCAUCCCUUUUUUCUUGCCCUCAAAGGCAAGAAUGCUAGUUUGUAUAUAGGCUCAUACAUAGGGCUACCUUCAGAUUUUAAGUUGCCUCUUAGUCCUUAUAUUAUCUUCAGAUUUACAAUCUUAAUCCCUCAUUUCCUAGCUUGCUACCCAAGUUACAACAAUUAGAAAUUUGAAUUCCAAUUUUGGUCCCUAUUCUAGAAGCUUCUUAAAUCAACUACCAAAAAUUCCUUGUAAAACUACCCAAAUUAACCCUGAAUUGUUCCUAAAAUUACUAACCUUAGCCCCUCUCCACCCUAGUUAACUGUCCAAAGUACUGGAAAUAUUCAAUUGUGACCAAUUUUCUAAUCUUUAAAUCUCCUAAUCUAGUCGACCUCUAAUCAAUACACUUCCUAUGACUAAUUGUAUGAUUGAACUAAGCCAACCAAUUACUUGAAACUAAAAACAUCAAAUUAACAGAAGCAGUCAUGGAUUAUUAAUCAAAACCAAGCACCAAAUCAAACCAAAAGUAAAUUCGAAACAAAACAAAAAUCAAAAGAACAAGAGAUAAGAGAAAAUAAAAACAAAGUGAAGAAACCUAAGAAUUCUAAACCAGUAAUCACUCCAAAGAAGAUAAGAGAAGUAAAUAAUCAAUCAAUUACUUGAAACUAAAAAAAAAUCAAAUUAACAGAAUCAUUCGUGGAUUAUUAAUCAAAA
rnacentral:lncRNA from 1 species